rnacentral:misc_RNA from 1 species
GAAAUGCGAUACGUAGUACGAAACGCAAGUCGUGAAUCAUCGAAUCUUUGAACGCACAUUGCGCUGUGCGGCAUUCCGCACAGCAUGCCUGUUUGAGCAAUAUUUCUCUCUCGCAAGGUGUUGGGCACCACGCCGGCAGGCGUCUGUCCGAAACGCAGCCGUCCAAAACAGUUAAGCUUGUUACGGACCCUUUGACGUUAUUCUCAAAUCAGGUAGGACUACCCGCUGAACUUAA